rnacentral:siRNA from 1 species
AUGAAUGAGUUGAAUAAUGUUCAA